UACGAAGGGGGCUAGCGUUGCUCGGAAUCACUGGGCGUAAAGGGUGCGUAGGCGGGUCUUUAAGUCGGGGGGGAAAUCCUGGAGCUCAACUCCAGAACUGCCUUUGAUACUGAAGAUCUUGAGUUCGGGAGAGGUGAGUGGAACUGCGAGUGUAGAGGUGAAAUUCGUAGAUAUUCGCAAGAACACCAGUGGCGAAGGCGGCUCACUGGCCCGAUACUGACGCUGAGGCACGAAAGCGUGGGGAGCAAACAGG
rnacentral:rRNA from 1 species